CGAGAAUGUUGAUGAGACAGAUCCACAUCUCAAAAUUUAGAUAAAGUUGAUUUUCUCCUUAUAUGUCCAUCUGAAAAUAGCCAUUUUUGGCUAUGUGUAACUUUCAAAGGAAGGCAAUUCAGAAAAUUCACGCCUUCUAUCAGACAGCGGCGGACAUGACGCGUUGUUUGCCAUCAACGUCAGAAGAAGAAGAAGCGGGAAAACAGUAGGUGGCGUAACAUUUUAACGUUGUGUUCGCCGACCUCGAAAGAAAACAAGGAAGAAGAAGAAAGAGAAGAAGAAGCGGGAACGUUUUUGGAAACGACAACCGCAACGCUUGUGACAGAAGACUUGGAGAGGGUGUUUGGCCUUCGUCAGAUGGGAGGACGGUUAUACCGGCAAAAUCUUUACUGGAGCAGACAUUUUGUCAAGAGAUGAAACUCCUGUGCAGAUCUUAGAACAGGAGAUUCUGUUUUAGCAAAGUGGUCAGAUGGUAAAUUUUAUAGGGCAACUGUUGAAUAUAUUUCAGGAAAAGUGACGGGGGACUUGUAACAGGCAGCAACACUGUUGGACCACCACCACCACCACCCUAUGGGAGAGAUGCAGGCAACCCAUCUGUCGAGGACACUAUCUCAUAUCGACCGCAGGCAGAAAAAUCAUGGACGCCAUGUGAUGGAUGUUGGGAGGAGUUCGAAAAAAUCCUGUGAGAAAAGCAACAAAUCGAAGAAGUCCUCUUGA